AGCUCAUGAAAAAUCACUUUAUUUAGAUUUUCACUCUUUCCUUCUUAACAGGCACCAUUUUCUCCUCACAAUAUAUCCAAAGUGCCAUUCUAGUACAACAAAUACCCAUAAAUAGAAACAUCUCACACAUUCAUUGUUGUCCUUCUCCACAUUUUAGCAAAAAUAAAGAUUAGAAAAACCUGCAGCAUUCGAUCUGUGUUAACGUUGCUGUAAAUCAGAGGCACAUCAGGGGGGCCAUUGUGGGAAAAUCAAGCAGUUCAGCACAAUGCAUUCCUGUUGUGUAGGUCAGCAGAAAGCCCAGUAACGGAAGACAGCGGGGAAUGUGACUUUUACACCAUUGUGUCUCUGGGUAGAUUCAGAAAACACUCACUGCUUAAACCCUGGGACAUGCCGGUUAUUUCUCAUUAGCAGAAAUAGGAUGCGUUUCACAAGCUUUCUCCGCCUAAAAAAAAAAAAAAAAAAAAAAACACGGAGAGAAAUUUCCUGAAUCACCAGAACAGCAACAGUGUCAGUAAUCAAUGUAAAAAGCUUUUAUUUGAACAAGCACUCCCACGACCACACAAUAGGACAGUUACACAACAUGUGGAGUAACAAAUGAGCUGAACUUAUUUCACAACAACCGAAGGUUAACUCAGAUACAUUAAAUUCUAUCCCACGAGUUUUCUGACCAAGUCAAUUUAAGGUACAUUCAUCGUCGCAGCGGAAGAUAUUUAGAUUUCUGUUUAGUGACUUAAAAUACUCCUGAUGCAGUUUAAGUUGUUACAGCAGGUUUGUCGAUUCACAUUUAAUUUUGACACCUAUGUACAGGCUGGUGUUACCAGAGAAAAUAUCAGUCUUGAAAAACGCAAACUGAUACACUGAAGUGCUUUGUUAAUGUAAAGUACUAUUUAGCUGAACCCUCCCCCCAUAAAAAAAACAAAACAAACCUGGAUUUCUGACUAUUAAACAAAAUCGCGCCCUAUACAAGAUGCCAAAUCAUCAUAGUUUCUAAAUAGGAAAGUAACAGAAUAAUCACUCUGAAAAGCUUCGCUUUAGCUACUGCAUACAUAACUUGGUUUAACUGUGCUAUAAACUAAACAGGAUUAUGUACCGACUAAUCAAUAUGACCAAAAUCUGAAGGCAUUACUGUAAACGUGACACUAGCCCUUUACAGAACAGACCUUGGAAAGAGUCAACUAUUUUGCCCUUUUUUGUUCAGGAACAUGACGAAAUUGUUUUUUUCCUACCAUGUUGCAUAAGAACUAUUAGACAAACAUGCCAAGGGCGUCUAUCGUACCCGCUUUGGCAACUAACAAUUUAAAGUAGAGCUUCAUGGCACAUCUGAAAUCAACAUGUCAAUAAAGGAACACAGAAACACAUUUUUCUCACUUUCCACUUUGUUUCCCCAUCAUCACCUCCAACCUCUAAAGCUUCAGUGUCUGAGUUAUUAAGAUCUUUGUGCAGUGCAAGAAUAAAAAGUCAAUUCAGGUUACCUAAUAAAAAAAAAUAAUAAAAAAAAACGCUCAUCAAAAAGCGCAACAUCAAUACUUGGCACCUGAAAUUAUACUGCCUGCCAAAUAGUUUAUCUAAACACUAUCGCACACACUAGUAAUGCAAUCACAAUACAAUAUACCGUCUAAUUAAAAAUUAAAUUGAAGUAGAAUGGGACCGAACAACAAUAAAUACAAAAUUAUGGAGGGGUGAACAGACAUGAAACCCUCUGAAGCAGCUCCUUUAUAUACUGUAUGUGCUUUAAAAGACCUUUGGUAAAGUAAGCUGAAAGGCAAUACUUACUGAACGCUAUGUCAGGGUAUUAAAAAGUAAAAAAAAACAAAAAAAAAAACACAACAUACACACCUGUACCCACCAAAAUUUGUCAGUACUUUCCUAUAAUUCAAAGUCCUCUUGAAUUGAUUUCAGACAAAGUGCACCGGCUGUAUAAAACCCAAGAGUAAUGCAAAGCUGUCCCUACCUUACAUGUUUUUCUACAAACUCCUGCUCAGCUGGUUGAACAUUUUCCUCAUACUUGCAGAAAAGACAAACUAGUUAUGAGCUGGCUUGCAAAUACAUUUUAGAUUUCAGUUUGAUAGUGUUAAACAUUUUCAUUUAGUACCACAAAACCUGGCUAUGUGCUCUAGUACACCCAAGAGUAGUACAAACUGGUCAAUAUGACCACUAAGAACCAUGAUUUUAUGAAAAGUAAAAAAAA